CAAGACAAAUGGGCAGCUGUACUACCUGUAAGAAUUAAAGGCCUCAUAGACAUUUUUUUACAAAAGACUGCAUGCUAUCAUUGAUGCACUGUAUUAAGAACUAAGUGUAUGCAGACUUUUGAACAGGGGUCAUUUCAUUUUUUUUCUUUGUUGCUAUUUAUGAUUGUGCCAUUUUGUUUUAACCUACAGUUGAAUAUGAAUCCCAUAAGAAAUA